rnacentral:rRNA from 1 species
UUGACCUCGGAUCAGGUACGA